rnacentral:rRNA from 1 species
UACGUAGGGCGCAAGCGUUAUCCGGAAUUAUUGGGCGUAAAGGGCUCGUAGGCGGUCCAUCGCGUCGGGAGUGAAAAGCUGGGGCUUAACCCCAGUCCUGCUUCCGAUACGGGUGGACUAGAGGUAUGCAGGGGAGAACGGAAUUCCUGGUGUGGCGGUGAAAUGCGCAGAUAUCAGGAGGAACACCGGUGGCGAAAGCGGCACCCUGGCAUUAGCCUGACGCUCAUGUGCGAAAGCGUGGGGAGCGAACGGG